rnacentral:rRNA from 1 species
UACGUAGGGUGCAGGCGUUAAUCGGAAUUACUGGGCGUAAAGCGUGCGCAGGCGGCUCCUUAAGUCAGAUGUGAAAGCCCCGGGCUUAACCUGGGAACUGCGUUUGAAACUGGGGAGCUAGAGUGUAGAAGGAGGGGGGGUGGAAUUCCAGGUGUAGCAGUGAAAUGCGUAGAGAUCUGGAGGAACACCGAUGGCGAAGGCAGCCCCCUGGGCUAACACUGACGCUCAUGCACGAAAGCGUGGGGAGCAAACAGG